rnacentral:lncRNA from 10 species
GGGUCCGGCCCUCCCAGCAGUCCCCAGCCGGCUGUGUCCCAAUUGCGCACGCGCGACGCUCCGAGGCCCGCUCCCGCCCCUUCGCCCCCUGGACGCCUCCGUGGGAACCCCCGGCCGGCCUGCGCGCCCCUCCUCCGGGGGUCUCCCCGCCUUCUUCCCGCCACCAUCCAAUCAAAUCGGGCGAGGGGCGCGAAGCCCGGGAGACGCGUAGGCCGCGGCCCCCAGGCCCGGUGUUUUGACGUCGGCGGUGCCCGCGUUCCGCGCCGAGUAACGGUCUUCGGAAUUCAGAGCCUUCGCCUUAGGGAAGGUGGGACGGUCGCCAGUUUCUCCAGCACUUUCUUCGUCCAGGGACGUCAACCUCCCUUGCAUGCUGUCCUCAGGGACUGACAGCGGGGCCUGCUCAGAAGUUCUCGUCGGGACUCUCUACAGGCCUUUGUGAUUAAGUGCUAGGGGUGAGGAGAGACGUGGCUUAUUUAUGUGUUUUUCAGUUUGUUAUGAUUUUUUUUUUUUUAAUUUUACUUCUCCCUGCCCUAGAAUUGAGCUCCUUGAGAGUAAAAACCCGCCUGGGUCGCCAUCACCCUAGGCUUGGUGCAGGGCCUGCCAGGCGCUCGAAUUUGUUGAAGAGGUGGGUGUUCAGUAUCGAAAGAGCCGCGGAUUGUACAUUAGAAAGCCUGGCUUUGCGCCGCGUCCUUGCCACUUGCUGACCAGGCCCCUCCACGUGGUCCCCGCCGGGGCAGCAGCUCUCCUCACCCGUCCAAAGGCACGGGGAGGCGCGUGGCGGCCCCGCCAGAGCUGAGCCCCCUGGGAUGUGAGGCCGUCUCGCUCUGAGCUUCAGAGCAGGGUUGCAGGAGACACCUCAGAAGGUCGUUUUGAGGACGGGAGGAGAUGAACUGCUCAAAGCCUGCUUAACUAGAUAAAUGGUAUCGAUUAACUUUUCUUUGACUCCCUUUCCACACCUAUAAAAUGAAGAUGACGGGAAACUUGUCAUACUUUUUUUGUGGUGGGUGGGAAAGGUCUUUAUGAACUGUGAAGUCCUAUGCAAACGUGAGAUGUUUCCUUUCGCAAUCUGAUUAGCGAAGCAAAAACACGCGAGUCAAAAACAUACACAGAAAGCAAAAAAAAAAAAUUCACAAAAUGGUUUAUCAACUGCAGAAUAUUCAGGAUGGUGGAACUGAAUGGUAACUACUGACAACAUAGCUCAGAAAGGACGUGCUAAAACAUGCUGGAUGAAGCUAACUUUGAUCCAGGUCUUAAAUGGAAUGGACUAUAGUUUAUAGCUUCAACCUAAUCAUUAACUUAUGAAAUCAGAGAAUUAAGGCCACUUAAGCCACUGUGCUCAGACUGUCAAGAUAUUUAGUUUCUCAAAGCAGAAAGAGGAAAUUAAAUACUCUUGUCAAUUCAACAUAUGGGUUGGAUGAUUAGCAGGAUCCGUGGAUUGUUGUUUAUCCAGUAUGUGAAGAAACGGAUAUCCUCUGUUUUCUCGUUAUUACACAAACUUCUAUCCUUAAUAUGUGACCUUUCAAGGUUGAACUCUAGGUAAAAUUAUGAAGUGCACAAUUACGUCUUGUUUCUUCUUCCCUUUGCACGUCGUUUUACAAGAGAAUCUAAUUAUUAUUAAAGUACAAAUGACUGACAAGAUUGUAGCCACUCCUGGGAGAUUUUGCAUUUUUACGGUUAUUAAAAGCCAUAACUCAAAGCAGCAGUUGAAUCUGUUUCAUAAACUAACUAAGAUUUAAAAGAGCUCCUUUGGGAGGUCAUGAGUUCAUCAGAAACUUCUGGUGUAGGAGUUCAGCCUAUAAAACAAACAAAUACAUGACUUGUAGUAUUUCUUCGUUUUAUAGUCUGAACUCCUCUAAGUUCUUGAUUCCCAUUCUGUGACCUCCCUUUCUUAGAUUGUUAAAAUAAAAUACAGAUGACUCACGCCUUUAAUCCCAGCACCUCGGGAGGCUGAGUCGGGAAGAUCACUUGAGCCUAGGAGUUUAAGACCAGCAAGGGCAACAUGGGGAGAUCCCAUCUCUUAAAAAAAUAAUAAUAAUAAUUGAGCAUGGUGGCACCCUCCUGUAGUCCCAGCUAUUUGGGAUACUGAAGCAGGAGGAUUGCUAGAGCCUGGGAGGUCAAAGCUGCACUGAGCCGUGGUCACACCACUGCAUUCCAGCCUGGACAACAGAGUGAGACCCUGUUUCAAGAAAAAUAAAAUGAAACAUUUAUUUCUGGAUGUUAUUUUGAAAGAUUUUGUCAUGUCUUAAUGAGCCCUGGCCACGUAAUCACAGCAUUUUGGGAGGCCAAGGUGGGAGGAUUGCUUAAAGCCAGGAGUUUGAGACUAGCCGGGUCAAUAUAGUGAGACCCUGUUUCUACAAAAAAUAAAUAAAUAAAUAGCCAGGUGUGGUGGCACGCACCUGUAGU